rnacentral:lncRNA from 1 species
CGCAAGACUCGAUGUGACGAAGAAAUCUUGAAAAUUUUUUGGUUUUUGGAGUGAACUGAACAGGCCAAAAUAUUACUGUAAAACACAAGAACAACAUCCACACUUUGUUUCCUUCACCAAUUGCACUGGGCCACAUGGAAUCAUUGGGGAAUACAGUGGGUUUUCACAAGGAACCAGCAGGACAUGAAGCUAUCUAUAUAAAGCACUGAAUCCUGCAAGGACUGAAGACACUAAAGGAAAAACCACCACUCAAGAACCUGAAAAACACCGUCCUGUACUCCUGUUGCUACAUCUGAAUUGAAAUAAGAGAAAAAGAGAAAGAAGAUGUGCUACAAGGUGGAGUGCAGCAAGUGCGGCAAGUUCACCUGGAACGGCUGCGGCAAGCACGUGGCGUCCGUGUACCAAGGGAUCGAGAAGGGGAAGCACUGCAGCUGCAAGCCAUGGCCAGGC